rnacentral:rRNA from 1 species
UACGUAGGGGGCAAACGUUAUCCGGAGUUACUGGGCGUAAAGGGCGUGCAGGUGGUCUGUUAAGUCUGGCGUGAAAGCUCUCGGCUAAACCGGGAGAGGUCGUUGGAUACUGGCGGACUAGAGGACGGUAGAGGCGUGUGGAAUUCCGGGUGUAGUGGUGAAAUGCGUAGAGAUCCGGAGGAACACCAGUGGCGAAGGCGACACGCUGGGCCGUACCUGACACUAAAACGCGACAGCAUGGGGAGCGAACGGG